AUUUAUAAAAAACAAAUUGAAAUAUUUAUCAUAUGUACUUUUGUUUCCAUCACUUGAGUGGAUACAACAAGAGAAUUAAACACGCGCUAUAUUAUAUUAUAUCGCGAACAUCAACGGUCGAUAAAUCUGUUCCGAUAAUUUAUUACGUUGUAGGUGUACACUAGUUUUUUUUCGUCUUAUAAAUACAUCAAGACGUUUUGAAACGCGAUUUUUUAUUCGACUUUUAAAGAUAAAUCCUCGAGAUCUACGCGUUUAGACACGUAUAUACAGGUAGACAAGUGAUGUCUUUAAAAACUGCAACAGCGGUUUACAAAAAAAUAAAACAAACAAACAAAUAUAUACUGUUGAACACAUUAACAUCCUUUUCCGUCCUAAGUACUUUUUUUCCCCUCCCCUACAGCUCAUAUAAUGAAAUUAUCUGUAGCGUAUACGGCAGCGCAUACUACACAACAUAAUAAAUAUAUAUAUUUAUAUAUAGUACGAGUCCUUCAUUUUGUAAUCUCAUUUUCGUUCGUUAAACUUUCUCAAAACGAACCCGUUUCUCUCGUGUACGUAAGGUGCAUCAUAAUACACGUAAACAUUUUCAAAAAUUUAACCAGUAUCUAAUUCCCGAAGUAUUUUUCAGUCUAUUUUUAAGCUACACAUCUAUAUAUUAUAUUAAUAUACACUCUGCUCGUUUAUUUAAUCGUUAUUAGUGAUAUGAUUGAAUCAAACGGAACAAUUUGUGAACUAGAUACAACCUAUAAUUCGGUUGGAAAUAGGUGAAAUAAUAAAUUUCAAUUUUUAAGUAUACAUACAGUUGUAUGGAUUUUGCAGUAUACCGGGAAAACGGAGAAAUUUUAAAAUACUGCACGUUCGAGUAUAUGCAUUCUAGUAAAUAUUUAGUUUAAAAAACAGCUACU